rnacentral:rRNA from 1 species
GACGAACGCUGCGGCGUGCUUAACACCUGCAAGUCGAACGGAAAGGCCCUGCUUGCAGGGUACUCGAGUGGCGAACGGGUGAGUAACACGUGGGUGAUCUGCCCUGCACUUCGGGAUAAGCCUGGGAAACUGGGUCUAAUACCGGAUAGGAGCCAUUUUUAGUGUGAUGGUUGGAAAGUUUUUUCGGUGUAGGAUGAGCUCGCGGCCUAUCAGCGUGUUGGUGGGGUAAUGGCCUACCAAGGCGGCGACGGGUAGCCGGCCUGAGAGGGUGGACGGCCACCUUGGGACUGAGGUACGGCCCAGACUCCUACGGUAGGCAGCAGUGGGGAAUAUUGCACAAUGGGCGCAAGCCUGAUGCAGCGACGCCGCGUGGGGGAUGACGGCCUUCGGGUUGUAAACUCCUUUCGCUAGGGACGAAGCUUUUUGUGACGGUACCUAGAUAAGAAGCACCGGCUAACUACGUG